GGGGGAUUAUAUUCGGGGGACUUAUAAUCGGAGGUUUACGAUACUUAAAUUACCGGCCAUAUGAAGGUUGAAAGUUAUAAAUUAGCAGAAACUGACAUGUUGAAUUAGCAGAAUUGACAAUACACGGACGAAAUAAAAGCAAAAAAGGAUUGACUUACCAAAUCGGUGUAAUUCUUCUUGCAAACUAUACAGACAGGAGGUAACACGUGCUCGUUCCUUGAUCUAGUAGCACUAGUGGACGCCGCUAAACUUGAUCGGAAAACUUUCUUCGGGAUAGGAUCACUACUGCCUUGGUCAACCGAUGCCGAUGGGAUUUGAUCUCUUUUUCAGCUUUUUUGCGCCUUGCUUCAGCAUGAUUUAAUAGGGUUUUAUUGGUAAAUGCUGCAUGAAUAGCAUUUGCGAUGAAACGCCAACUCUUUAAAAUUUUCAUAGCGAUCUUCUUCCUCGAUGCUUAUAAUUUGAGUUGUACGUAAUGCUAUGUCUUUCUGACGGCCGUCAAGUUGUAUCCAUUGCUUCCGGCAUUCCAGAAAUCUUUCGAAUGAAACCUCUGUAAAAUUUGUAAGUGGCCCGACACUGUCUUCGCAAUAAAUUAAACAUGUAUUUCCCAAUUCUGCCAUGUUCAGUCGGCCAUGACAAAACCCUCUUUGUUAAGAGGAGAUUUUUUGGUAUGUUACGUAACACGCGCUCAAAAUUAAUGCGUACAAUAUACCACUUGAGGUUAUGACUAAAUUUAGUGCUUUAUCUGUAACAUAAUGCUAAAAUGAAGAGAUUUUAGAUGAUACGCCGAAGAGAAAAUUAUGUCUGAAGUUCAGUAAGUUUUGCAGUUAUAUGGCUGUAAAUAUGGCGUCAAUUUUAAAGCAUCAUUGAUAAUUUAUUUUACUUGACAAUUUUUAACUAUUAUUUUAUGUUUCUCAACCGGCAGACGCAUUUAAAAAGGUAGCUAACUCUAUAAACUAGAGAAUAAAGCUAAAACAAAGUAAUUUUGAGAGGAACGCCAAAAAGAUUUUAGGUUUUGAACACUUUUCAUUGCAAAUACGUGACAUUGAAAAAAAUUGCCUCUUAAUAUUAUUACAUAAAGUUUCCAAUAGUGAGCACCUUUUCAAUGCAUCUUACAUCAAGUUUCCAGGGAAACAAAAUGGCGGGUUUCGAAUUUCGAGGAGCGCCAAUUGUUGAAAUUCAAACGCAAAUUUAUGAAAAAUUGCAGGUUUAUAGAAGUGCCAACAAGCAGAA